CAGCCCCGCGGUAAUACGGAGGGAGCUAGCGUUGUUCGGAAUUACUGGGCGUAAAGCGCACGUAGGCGGUUAUUCAAGUCAGAGGUGAAAGCCCGGGGCUCAACCCCGGAACUGCCUUUGAAACUAGAUGACUGGAAUCUUGGAGAGGUCAGUGGAAUUCCGAGUGUAGAGGUGAAAUUCGUAGAUAUUCGGAAGAACACCAGUGGCGAAGGCGACUGACUGGACAAGUAUUGACGCUGAGGUGCGAAAGCGUGGGGAGCAAACAGGAUUAGAGACCCGUGUAGUCCCUGUCUCUUAUACA
rnacentral:rRNA from 1 species